UUGAAGCUUUUAGCACAAGUUCACCAAGGAUCCCCUCUCGUCUCCAUCAACACCAUUGUAAUUUGUGACGCUCGAGUCCCCGACACUCGCAGUUCAAUCAUGUAACCGUCACCCCCGUCACAGUCCGCUUAGCAGCCUUCCACGUGGGUUCCACCCCAUGGACUGCUCCGUACAUUUCACGAGCCCAACCUACCUAAACCACAAAAAAAAAAAAAAAAAAGAAAAGAAAUUGAACCGGCUGGAUGCAUCAUGCUUUGUGCAGGUCCUUGUUUUGAGCGCUUCAUACCCAGCUGCCGGUCACCUCUACUAAUCCAGCAAACGAGGUUUACCGGUUGAGCCAGUCAGGCUCUUGGACCCCAGUUCGAUAGAUUACCCCAUCACCCAUCACUCUCGAAACGGAGCUUAUUUCUUCCAUUUUCUUGUAAGAGUGAAACUUUUUUCUCUAAGCCACUUUCAUAGAAAGGAAUUUUGUGGCAUUUCUUGGUUAUGAUCUGUUCUUUCAAAGGUUUUAGAACAUUUGAAUCAGGAUUAGAUUACUACAAUUUGUAUUUAGAAUAUGGAUGUGAAUCACAAUAAAAAUAUGAAAAAUGAGGAUAUGCUCUCUCCCUUGGCCGAAUAUGAAGAGUGUGAUUUUUCAAAGUUGUUAGAGAAGCCAAGGCUUCUGAGCAUAGAGAGGCAGAGAUCACUGGAGGAAAGGUCACUCAGUGAGUUAUCUAUUGGGAUAUCUCCGUGCCUUUCUAGUAGAGCUAAUGAUCUUAAUUCAUUACGCAUAUUUGAGCAACCAGAUUUUAUUUGUUCGCCGGUGGGUAGAAGGUCGGGUAUUAACACACCAAGGUCACAAACUGGUUUUGACCCGCAUCCAAUGGUUGCCGAAGCUUGGGAAGCCUUGAGAAGGUCUUUGGUGUAUUUUCGUGGUCAACCAGUCGGGACUAUUGCAGCAUUGGAUAAUUCUGAAGAAAACCUUAACUACGAUCAGGUCUUUGUGAGAGACUUUUUCCCUAGCGGAUUGGCUUUCUUGAUGAAUGGGGAACCAGAAAUAGUGAAGAACUUUAUUUUGAAGACCCUUCGCCUUCAAUCAUGGGAGAAAAAGAUUGAUAGAUUUCAGUUAGGAGAAGGAGUAAUGCCAGCUAGUUUCAAAGUGCUCCAUGACCCAGUUAGGAACAAUGAGACAUUAAUUGCAGAUUUUGGUGAGAGUGCAAUAGGAAGAGUUGCUCCUGUUGAUUCUGGAUUUUGGUGGAUUAUUUUGCUUCGAGCGUACACAAAGUCUACCGGAGACACUUCAUUGGCUGAGUUGCCUGAAUGCCAGAAGGGUAUGCGCCUAAUUCUGAGUUUAUGUCUCUCGGAGGGAUUUGACACAUUUCCAACACUUCUCUGUGCUGAUGGUUGCUGCAUGAUUGAUCGUAGAAUGGGUGUAUAUGGCUAUCCCAUCGAAAUCCAAGCUCUUUUCUUUAUGGCUUUAAGAUGCGCUUUGCUUCUACUCAAGCAAGAUGAUGAAGGAAAGGAGUUUAUGGAACGAAUAGUUAAACGACUGCAUGCCUUAAGCUAUCACAUGAGAAGUUAUUUUUGGCUUGACUUGAAGCAGCUCAAUGACAUAUAUCGUUUUAAGACAGAAGAGUACUCCCAUACAGCAGUUAACAAGUUUAAUGUCAUGCCUGACUCUCUUCCAGAAUGGGUUUUUGAUUUUAUGCCAGUUCGUGGUGGCUACUUUAUCGGUAAUGUUAGCCCUGCAAGAAUGGAUUUCCGUUGGUUCUGCUUGGGCAAUUGCAUUGCAAUUCUGUCAUCAUUGGCUACUCCCGAACAAGCCACUGCAAUUAUGGAUCUUAUAGAGUCACGCUGGGAAGAGUUGGUUGGAGAAAUGCCAUUAAAGGUUUGUUAUCCAGCCAUGGAAACUCAUGAAUGGCGGAUUAUAACAGGAUGUGACCCCAAAAACACGCGAUGGAGUUACCACAAUGGAGGAUCAUGGCCAGUGCUUUUAUGGCUGCUGGCAGCUGCAUGCGUGAAGACUGGACGCCCCCAAAUUGCAAGACGCGCCAUUGAAAUAGCUGAAACCAGGUUGCUGAAGGACCACUGGCCUGAAUAUUACGAUGGAAAGCUGGGUCGAUACAUUGGUAAGCAAUCGCGUAAAUCCCAAACCUGGUCUAUUGCUGGUUAUUUGGUGGCAAAAAUGAUGUUGGAAGACCCAUCUCACUUGGGUAUGGUAGCAAUCGAGGAAGACAAACAAAUGAAGCCCCUCUUGAGGAGAUCAAAUUCAUGGACUCUAUGAUUUUUCUUUUACAGUCCAAUCCCCCCUUUCCAUUCUAAUUUCUAGCUUUUGACCAAUUGGCCUGUUCAAUUGGAAGGAAAAGCUGGAAACAUAAUGAAAUUAAAACACCUCAAUGCCUUUCACCUUUUGGCCUAGCGGCUAAGAUGUUUUGAAGAAGGCACGUGAUGUGGGCUCUAAUUCGACCUUUUUUUUUAUGGUGGAAGUUGGAUCUGUUUGGUUAGGCUGUUUCUUGAGUACAUAGAGACAAAAGAGUGGUCGUGUCGUGCUGGGGACUGGGUUGGCAAGCCGCACUUUCGUCUUGACUC